AUGCGAUGAGUCGAUAUGUGGUUUUACCACUAUUGCGCAGGGAGAUUAUAAACGCAGGAGCGGAUCUUGAUAAGUUGUGUGAACCUUCUUAUCACACUUGAAAAGGUGCCCUUAGCUUACUACUACUUGUAAUUUCU
ncrna:Streptococcus agalactiae 515 MarS sRNA